GCCUGGGUGGCUCAGACGAUUGAGCGUCUGACUUCAGCUCAGGUCACGAUCUCGCGGUCCGUGAGUUCGAGCCCCGCAUCGGGCU
rnacentral:tRNA from 1 species